UGUGGAGCUUUAGACCUAAAAUAAACCACGUUUAAUAUACUAAAAUUAAUAGCAAAAACUUAGUGGGCAUUUAUUUAAGUGUCUUUGGUUGGGGCGACCGCGGAGUAAAACACAACCUCCAUGUGGACGGGGAUACUAUCCCUAAAACUCAGAGCCUCCACUCCAAGCAACAGAAAUUCUGACCUCACUGAUCCGGUACAGCCGAUUAACGAACCCAGUUACCCCA
rnacentral:rRNA from 1 species